rnacentral:rRNA from 1 species
GAUGAACGCUGGCGGCGUGCCUAAUACAUGCAAGUCGAGCGAACAGACGAGGAGCUUGCUCCUCUGACGUUAGCGGCGGACGGGUGAGUAACACGUGGAUAACCUACCUAUAAGACUGGGAUAAUUUCGGGAAACCGGAGCUAAUACCGGAUAAUAUAUUGAACCGCAUGGUUCAAUAGUGAAAGACGGUUUUGCUGUCACUUAUAGAUGAAUCCGCGCCGCAUUAGCUAGUUGGUAAGGUAACGGCUUACCAAGGCAACGUUGCGUAGCCGACCUGAGAGGGUGAUCGGCCACACUGGAACUGAGACACGGUCCAGACUCCUACGGGAGGCAGCAGUAGGGAAUCUUCCGCAAUGGGCGAAAGCCUGACGGAGCAACGCCGCGUGAGUGAUGAAGGUCUUCGGAUCGUAAAACUCUGUUAUUAGGGAAGAACAAAUGUGUAAGUAACUAUGCACGUCUUGACGGUACCUAAUCAGAAAGCCACGGCUAACUACGUG